rnacentral:rRNA from 1 species
GACGGAGGAUGCAAGUGUUAUCCGGAAUCACUGGGCGUAAAGCGUCUGUAGGUGGUCAAAUAAGUCAACUGUUAAAUCUUGAGGCUCAACCUCAAAAUCGCAGUCGAAACUAUUAGACUAGAGUAUAGUAGGGGUAAAGGGGAAUUCCAGUGGAGCGGUGAAAUGCGUAGAGAUCGUAAGGAAGACCAGUGGCGAAGGCGAGUCUCUGGACAGUUACGUGACGC